ACAAAAUCUAACAUAGAACAGGUAGGAAAUAUAUAAUCAACCAUGACACGUGCAUUCUGUUUUGAGGUAUGUAGAGAGGGAUCUCUUAAAGGACUUUAGGCUUCGGGAAGAUUUUAAAGUGUGCGGGAGGUCGUUCCACAAUUGCGGCGCUCUGUAGGAGAAGAAGGAUCGGAGGAUUACAUAAAUACAUGAUUAGAAGUACAUUCUGGACAAUGCAGCAUGACUGCCC